rnacentral:rRNA from 1 species
AACACAUGCAAGUCGAACGCGAACGGAAUCUUCGGAUUCCAAGUAGAGUGGCGCACGGGUGAGUAACACGUGGAUAACCUGCCCUAGAGUCUGGGAUAACACUUCGAAAGAGGUGCUAAUACCGGAUAAGCCCACGCCUUCUUCGGAAGAAGUGGGAAAAGAUUUAUUGCUCUAGGAUGGGUCCGCGGUCCAUUAGCUAGUUGGUGGGGUAAUGGCCUACCAAGGCUGCGAUGGAUAGCUGGUCUGAGAGGAUGAUCAGCCACACUGGAACUGAGACACGGUCCAGACUCCUACGGGAGGCAGCAGUGGGGAAUUUUGCGCAAUGGGGGAAACCCUGACGCAGCAAUACCGCGUGAAGGAUGAAGGCCUUUGGGUCGUAAACUUCUGUCAGAGGGGAAGAAAUACUCGCAAGAGUGCUGACGGUACCCUCAAAGGAAGCACCGGCUAACUCCGUGCCAGCAGCCGCGGUAAUACGGAGGGUGCAAGCGUUGUUCGGAAUUAUUGGGCGUAAAGAGCAUGUAGGCGGACUGUUAAGUCUGGUGUGAAAGCCCGGGGCUCAACCCCGGAAGUGCAUCGGAUACUGGCAGUCUUGAGUAUGGGAGAGGAAAGUGGAAUUCCGAGUGUAGGAGUGAAAUCCGUAGAUAUUCGGAGGAACACC